UUCCUACGGGGGGCAGCAGUGGGGAAUAUUGCACAAUGGGGGAAACCCUGAUGCAGCGACGCCGCGUGAGUGAAGAAGUAAUUCGUUAUGUAAAGCUCUAUCAGCAGGGAAGAAAAUGACGGUACCUGAGUAAGAAGCCCCGGCUAACUACGUGCCAGCAGCCGCGGUAAUACGUAGGGGGCAAGCGUUAUCCGGAUUUACUGGGUGUAAAGGGAGCGCAGGCGGCGUGGCAAGUCAGAUGUGAAAACCCGGGGCCCAACCCCGGGAGUGCAUUUGAAACUGCCAUGCUGGAGUGCCGGAGAGGG
rnacentral:rRNA from 1 species